AACGCUAGUUACAGGCUUAACACAUGCAAGUCGAGGGGCAGCAUGGUCUUAGCUUGCAAACUAAAGAUGGCGACCGGCGCACGGGUGAGUAACACGUAUCCAACCUGCCGAUAACUCGGGGAUAGCCUUUCGAAAGAAAGAUUAAUAUCCGAUGGUAUAUUAAAACCGCAUGGUUUUACUAUUAAAGAAUUUCGGUUAUCGAUGGGGAUGCGUUCCAUUAGUUUGUUGGCGGGGUAACGGCCCACCAAGACUACGAUGGAUAGGGGUUCUGAGAGGAAGGUCCCCCACAUUGGAACUGAGACACGAUCCAAACUCCUACGGGAGGCAGCAGUGAGGAAUAUUGGUCAAUGAACGAGAGUCUGAACCAGCCAAGUAGCGUGAAGGAUGACUGCCCUAUGGGUUGUAAACUUCUUGUGUAUGGGAAUAAAGUAUUCCACGUGUGAGAUUUUGUAUGUACCAUAUGAAUAAAGAUCGGCUAACUCCGUGCCAGCAGCCGCGGUAAUACGGGGGAUUCCGAGCGUUAUCCGGAUUUAUUGGGUUUUAAGGGAGCGUAGGUGGAUUGUUAAGUCAGUUGUGAAAGUUUGCGGCUCAACCGUAAAAUUGCAGUUGAAACUGGCAGUCUUGAGUACAGUAGAGGUGGGCGGAAUUCGUGGUGUAGCGGUGAAAUGCUUAGAUAUCACGAAGAACUCCGAUUGCGAAGGCAGCUCACUAGACUGCAACUGACACUGAUGCUCGAAAGUGUGGGUAUCAAACAGGAUUAGAUACCCUGGUAGUCCACACAGUAAACGAUGAAUACUCGCUGUUUGCGAUAUACAGUAAGCGGCCAAGCGAAAGCAUUAAGUAUUCCACCUGGGGAGUACGCCGGCAACGGUGAAACUCAAAGGAAUUGACGGGGGCCCGCACAAGCGGAGGAACAUGUGGUUUAAUUCGAUGAUACGCGAGGAACCUUACCCGGGCUUAAAUUGCAUUUGAAUAAUCUGGAAACAGGUUAGCCGCAAGGCAAAUGUGAAGGUGCUGCAUGGUUGUCGUCAGCUCGUGCCGUGAGGUGUCGGCUUAAGUGCCAUAACGAGCGCAACCCUUAUCUUUAGUUACUAACAGGUCAUGCUGAGGACUCUAGAGAGACUGCCGUCGUAAGAUGUGAGGAAGGUGGGGAUGACGUCAAAUCAGCACGGCCCUUACGUCCGGGGCUGCACACGUGUUACAAUGGGGGGUACAGAAGGCAGCUACCUGGCGACAGGAUGCUAAUCCCAAAAACCUCUCUCAGUUCGGAUCGAAGUCUGCAACCCGACUUCGUGAAGCUGGAUUCGCUAGUAAUCGCGCAUCAGCCAUGGCGCGGUGAAUACGUUCCCGGGCCUUGUACACACCGCCCGUCAAGCCAUGAAAGCCGGGGGUACCUGAAGUACGUAACCGCAAGGAGCGUCCUAGGGUAAAACUGGUAAUUGGGGC
rnacentral:rRNA from 1 species